GUCGCUAAGUCUGCUCUCACUGCAGUAACAACAGUCCUAUCUAUAUAGGCAUAUUUUUGCACAUAGCAAAUAAAACUGUCACCACUUUGGGCAAACAAUCCAGUUUUGAUUUGUUCUAGAAUGAGUCCUUUCGCUUGGCUUCAGAAAGGAGAAAACAAAAAUUUUGCAGAAGACAGAAGAAGAAAUACAGCCCUUUUUCUGGGCCAACAAUACAUUAUCUUGUGGCCAGUAUCCUCUCUGUUUCUCCUGAAAACUAGGCUGAAUGUCAGUGACAAACACAUCUUGAGUGCUCAAAAUAUCACAUUUGGUGACAAGGAUAAAAAAGCCAGUGCUCUCCAACCAACAAUAUUAAAGUAAGUGUGCCAAG
rnacentral:lncRNA from 1 species